UGGCGGCAUGCUUAACACAUGCAAGUCGAACGAAGUCUUUCGAGACUUAGUGGCGGACGGGUGCGUAACGCGUAAGAACCUACCCUUGGGAGGGGGAUAACUAUCGGAAACGAUAGCUAAUACCCCAUAUGCUGAGGAGUGAAAGGGAGUGUAAACUCUCGCCUAGGGAUGGGCUUGCGUCUGAUUAGCUAGUUGGUGGGGUAAUAGCCUACCAAGGCCACGAUCAGUAGCUGGUCUGAGAGGAUGAUCAGCCACACUGGGACUGAGACACGGCCCAGACUCCUACGGGAGGCAGCAGUGAGGAAUUUUCCGCAAUGGGCGAAAGCCUGACGGAGCAAUGCCGCGUGGAGGAUUACAGCCCAUGGGUUUUAAACUCCUUUUCUCGGAGAAGAAGCAGUGACGGUAUCCGAGGAAUAAGCAUCGGCAAACUCCGUGCCAGCAGCCGCGGUAAUACGGGGGAUGCAAGCGUUAUCCGGAAUGAUUGGGCGUAAAGCGUCUGUAGGUGGUAGUUGAAGUCUGCUGUUCAAGACCAGGGCUUAACCCUGGACCGGCAGUGGAAACUCAGCUGCUUGAGUGCGGUAGGGGCAGAGGGAAUUCCC
rnacentral:rRNA from 1 species